UGAGAAGAGAACCGCAGACCCUCAGC
rnacentral:piRNA from 1 species